AACGAACGCUGGCGGCAUGCCUAACACAUGCAAGUCGAACGAGACCUUCGGGUCUAGUGGCGCACGGGUGCGUAACGCGUGGGAACCUGCCCUUAGGUUCGGAAUAACUCCCCGAAAGGGGUGCUAAUACCGGAUAAUGUCUUCGGACCAAAGAUUUAUCGCCUUUGGAUGGGCCCGCGUUGGAUUAGCUAGUUGGUAGGGUAAAAGCCUACCAAGGCGACGAGCCAUAGAUGGUCUGAGAGGAUGAUCAGCCACACUGGGACUGAGACACGGCCCAGACUCCUACGGGAGGCAGCAGUGGGGGAUAUUGGACAGUGGGCGAAAGCCUGAUCCAGCAAUGCCGCGUGAGUGAUGAAGGCCUUAGGGUUGUUAAGCUCUUUUACCCGGGAUGAUAAUGACAGUACCGGGAGAAUAAGCUCCGGCUAACUCCGUG
rnacentral:rRNA from 1 species